AAAAAAAAAUAAUAAAAAAAAAAAGAUAGGGUAUUUUGGGUAAACGAUAUAUAUAUAUGGUUGGCUAAAUUUGCAAUCAAUUUGACAAAUAGAUACUAAAUGCCAAAAUUACCAAAAUUACAAGAUUUGCAAAACAGAAGGUUUCAGUAUUUUGGUGAUUAUACCUUAACUGGUUGUUUAGAAGGUGGCAAGCAUACGAGGCUUUAACUCAUGAUAAUCCAAGAUCGUUUUAACAGUAGCCUCUCAAGCAGAUUUUAUCCCUUUGGUAUUAGUUGCUUGAACGAACUUGUUAGUAAGGUAACCAAUACCUCAAUGUGCUGAUGAGCUUGUCAAAUAGUACAAUUUAAAAUUUAUCUUAGCCACUAUAACUUUGUCCUCAGCCUGCCAGCCUGUCCAUAGUGUAGGCUGUCCCCAACCAUGCAUGGGCUUAACCCUUGUUGUUCCACUUAUUCAAGUAGGGCUAUGCUACUUAACCCACAAGCCACUGGCAAAUGUGGUGAUACUGUUACAAGCUUAUAUUUUAUACACUAUAAGUGGCUGGCUCAGAAACAUUAGCAACAGUAAGAACUGCAAGUGAUGCAAUAUAAAAUUACAGUCUAGCCAAUAAAAUACCAAAUGAACCACAUGUUUUAAGAGAUCAUAAACAAGAAUUGAGUCAUGUUACAAUUUUCAGCCUGAAAGAAAAAGAGGGUGAUGGUUUUAAGGCCAUUGAUACUCAAUAUUUACAGUGCUUGACAUCCACAUAAAAACCAAUUCAUAAGGGGUAUUUUACUAGUUGAUAUAUUCUAUGUGAUAUGAAAUGCAUUCACCUUCAUGAUCAAAUAUUAUUUAUGCAUUCCUAAUUGCAAUUUUACCUGUCUUAUGCUUAUGUUUCAGAUUUAUGCAGUAAUAUCAAUUUCAGGAGUGAAAAAUUACUAAUAAAUGAACAUUGUUUAAAAAUAACACAUUAAGGCCUCUCCGAUAUGGCAUAUUAUGAUUUUCCUCAUGCAUGUACUACUAAUUAACAUAACAUCAUCAUUAAAGAUCCACUAAGAGUUAUCAGACUGAAACAGUUCAGUUAUUAAAGUAUAUUUACAAAAAGAAAAAGAUGAAAAAGCCCAGUAAUACCUUGUAGAAU
rnacentral:misc_RNA from 1 species